UACGUAGGGUGCGAGCGUUGUCCGGAAUUACUGGGCGUAAAGAGCUCGUAGGUGGUUUGUCACGUCGUCUGUGAAAUUCCGGGGCUUAACUUCGGGCGUGCAGGCGAUACGGGCAAUACUUGAGUGCUGUAGGGGAGACUGGAAUUCCUGGUGUAGCGGUGAAAUGCGCAGAUAUCAGGAGGAACACCGAUGGCGAAGGCAGGUCUCUGGGCCACUACUGACGCUGAGAAGCGAAAGCAUGGGGAGCGAACAGGAUUAGA
rnacentral:rRNA from 1 species